AAUCAACGCUGGCGGCGUGCCUAACACAUGCAAGUCGAACGCGAAAGUCCCGCAAGGGAUGAGUAGAGUGGCAAACGGGUGAGUAACACGUGGGUGACCUGCCCUCGAGCGGGGAUAACGUCCCGAAAGGGACGCUAAUACCGCAUGACAUCCUGCCUUUGAACAGGCGGAGAUCAAAGCUGGGGAUCGCAAGACCUAGCACUCGAGGGAGGGGCCCGCGCCUGAUUAGCUAGUUGGUGAGGUAACGGCUCACCAAGGCUUCGAUCAGUAUCCGGCCUGAGAGGGCGGACGGACACACUGGGACUGAGACA
rnacentral:rRNA from 1 species